rnacentral:lncRNA from 1 species
AGAAGAGGAGUUGACGACACAGAAGCACAGAGGAAAGGCCAUGUGAGGACACAGGGAGAAGGUGCCCAUCUGCAACCGAGGAGAGAGGCCUCGGAAAAACUGCAGACACCUUGCUCUCGGACUUGCAGCCUCCAGAACCGGUUUUGAAAUUGUGGACCUGUAUUAUUCCUGUCUUGCACAUGAAGAAACUGAGGCACGGGAGAGCUUACCCACGUUCAUUAACUCCUGGGAGGUGGGGCUGGCUACCACCCCAGGCAGCCUGGCCCAGAGUCCAUGCUCUUCACAUCCUCCUUGCCGUGCCCCGGGCACUGCCCAUCUCUCAGGGCCUGACCCUCUGUAGAAGACAGAUUACCCCAAGCUGCAACCUUGCCGUGAAGACCAGAUACAAUGUAGGCAGAGCUCUGUUAUGAGUUAAAUUCCAGUCUCCCCAAUUUCGUAUGUUGAAGUCCUAACCCCAGUAACUCAGAAUAUAACCUUAUGUGGAAGUAGGGUCCUUGCUCAUAUAGUUGGUUAAAUUAAGAUGAUGUCACUAGGAUGGGCCCUAAUUCAAUAAGACUGGUGUCCUUAUUUAAAAAAAGAAAUUUGGACACAAAGACAGAGAGGUACUCAGAGGAAUGCCGUGUGAAUGCGAAGGCAGAGGUCAGGGUGAUGCUUGCACAAGCCAAGGAGUGCCUCAAAUUGCCAGCAAAGCCCCAGAAGCUCCGAGAGAGAGGCAUGGAACAGUUUCUCUCACUUAGCCUUCAGAAGGAAGUAACCCUGCCGAUACCUUGACCUCAAAUUUCUAGCCUCUAGAACUGUGAGACAAAUGUCUGCUGUUCACACCCCCAGCCUGUGAUCCUUUGUUACAGCUGUCCUAGCAGAUUAGCACAAUUCCUUACCCAGCGCCGGCUGCUGAGCCGGAGACCGAGAAGUGGCAGCCAGCCACACUUACUCUGUUUAGGACCAAAGCCUCAGAUUCUUAAUGGGAAAAUAAAGUCAGUGAGUUAGAUGGUUUCUAAGGCUUCCUCCAAGUUGCAGGUCUAAUUUUCUAUGUUUAUAACAUGAGGAUAAUUCCACUCUCUAGUCCCUUGCACCAGUGGUCUGGCUCUGUAGCAUUUCUUUGCUGUUUUAAAGACGGGCUGAUGCAAAGGCAGCCUUAAGAAGCAAAACAACACAAAGCGAACAGCUUCUUUUCCUCUGUGGUGGGCGUCGCCCCUGCACAUUAAGACCGAAACCCCGUGGGCCCUAAUUUGCCUUCCGAUGCACCUGCCUGUUGGUGCACUCCCUGAGCUGUGCGGUUUUCUGAGUCCCUUUCACCUGUGUCCUCAGGUCUGCUGAGUUAAACCCACAGUGUGUGUUUGGGCUACAAAUUCUGCAGAGGAAAGCGGAAAUCGAUGUUGGAGGCUGUUUCCUAGCAAGGCACAGUUGGCCUCAGUGUAGGGAAGAGGUAAGAUGCUGAAAAGUUUUCCUCAGGCCUUAAUGACAGGUCCCCCACUGUCAAGCUGGGUGGGAACCUUUAUGCUUCUGCCUUUAAGCUGCUACACGACAAUUCAGAAAAUGAUUUGCAGUGGGUAGGGCGUGGCCCCACAAUCCCCACCUGUGGAAACAGGAUCUUAAUGGCUGUCAGUGUUCAAAGAACGGGCUCCGGGUUUCCUUCCAGCGUCCUGUGCGGCUGUUAGUGCUGUUCUCCAGGCUGCCCUUGACUCCCGAUCAGCCCCUCAGCCUUCGGCCAGCAGGCUGCUCCCAGCUGCUCUCCUGGAAGCACUUCCUCACCAGCCAGGUGGCCUCUCAUCUCCCUGCAGCCCCAUCCUGUCUGCCCCAGAGCCCGGGUGGCUUCAGCACUUCCCUAACGCCACUCAUCUCUGCUCCUCCCUCCUGGUUAUCUUCCUGCCAGUUUUGGAAGUGGGCCUUUCCUAUUGCAGAGACGGCCCAGUGGAAUGCUUUGGGACACAACAAGGGUUGCAGGGUGGGAGAGAUCACUGCAGGGUCUCAUGGCCUGUGAUUCUGUUCAGUGCCAACACGGGAGACUGAAUGAAGCAAGAGCAAGCGCUGAUAGAUGCUGCCGCUCCGGAGUGGAGACCACAUCUGGUUCAUCUCUUGAGUCCUCAGUGCCCAGCCAGAGCUUGGCACAUAGCCGGUGCUCAAUAAGAUGAUCUGUUGAAUGAAUGCUCUUAGUGUCCUUUCUUCUUCGGAAAGGUGUCCGACGUGUGUUAAGUCCGAGAAUCACAACCUCAACAGGGAGGCAAAAGCAGAGAUGCCUCUGCUUUGCAGUAGCUCUCAUGAGUCACGUCAGAGGUGCAGGUCUGGCUCAGCCGUUGUCCAAGAAACUCCAGGAGCUCCACCUCCCUGUGCCUCAGUGUCCUCCACUGCGAUGCGGAGGCCACAGUGUCUGCUCUGCCUGCCUCCCUGGAGGUCAUGAGGACACGACAGGAGAACAGACAUGAGACUUCUCUGAGAAUUUCAAAGCCGUGCUUAAGUCUCUUUUCUUCUACACGCUCAUGCUCAAGGACCACAGCCAGGUUCACCUCCUACGCCAGCUGAGGAAACCCCCAUCCUGGUAGGCCAGGUGCUGCCAAGUGCCAGCCUCCAUGGAGCUCGAUUGUCUGCUUGGUCAGACAUUUCUGCACCCCAGGUGGCGAGUGACAAGUUAAGUCACAGAAGACUGGCUGGCAUAUACUUGCUCCCUGGCACAGUUCUCGCUCCCGGAGCCACCGAGAACAGAAACAGGAGGAUCUUCUCCCCAGAGGACUAUGCUCCUGGACAGCAUCCUUGACCCAUCCAGAGAGCACUCGGCCCCUAUUCUGUCCAGAACAGGCCCAGGGAGGAGGCACUUACAGGGAGCAGCCAGCCAGAGAGCAGCAGCACCCAGGCAGGGACACGGCCUCCUGCCCUCUAGGCCAGCGCUCCCACUGUUCUUCCCGCCUCUCCAGGGAUGGAUGGAGGCCACGGUGCCCACUUCACUCUCUCAUGGCGGACUGGUUUCCUCCACCCUGCAGGAAAUGCAGCAGCCAAAUCCCUCCCUGCAUCCACCACACGUGCAGCUCCUGAAUUUCACAUCUUUGUUAACAACUUGCACCAAAGAUACUGCAGGCUUUCAGCCAGGAAGUCCCAGGCUCUUCAAAAGCCACGUCGGAAUCUCACCUCCUCUCUGUGUACCCCCACUGCCACCACAACGCUUCCGUUUCAACAGGGACCCGUUCCUGUGAUUUAAAUAAGUGGGUGAAUAAACAAGGGAAUAAGCAAGGGAAUGAGUGGACAGAAAGAAGAUGGGAAAAAAAUUCUCUUGCCCAAAAGUUGCCCCAAUGGAGGAACCAAGAAGAGAAGAGGAAGCGUCAGCCCUGAGAGGGCAUAUGCCGCCCUCCUCCCCUCCCCUCCACAGCCCUCUGCCCCCGUCCAAGCAGAUCACUGCCUGGAGGUGAGCGGUGCCCAGAAAAUGGGCAGGACCUGGAUAACGAUCAUAGUGGGCAGACAGAGACUGAAGCCCAGUCCCUGCUGUGCGACUUGGAAAUGUCAGUCAUGGCUUAAGGGGAGAGCCGAUUCAAGGAAACAGCCAAGUCAAGGUCGCCACAUGUGUGCGGCAUUUUAGGUUCAGCAAGCGAUCUGCAAAUUCAAAGCCUCGUAAAUGGGUUCCAAGAAAUCUGAUUUUAACAGCACCACUGACACAGGAGUGUGUCCCGGGACUCGCCCCUCACUGGGAUGAAGAUUGUCAUUGAUUUAUCAGGAGCAGAAACAGCAGGAUUCCACAUCACGUCCUGGAAGGCAGCCCAGGCAAAGGUGGAGAAUUAGCAGAUCGUUACUAUUAAUUCCAAUAUUACAACUCCCCAGGAGUCCUGCAGCAAAUCACAGGCUCUCUCACAGGAGUUUCUCCGUAUUUAAGUGGAGUUAAUGUUUUUUGUUUUUGUUUCUGUUUUUAAUGGAGCAUCAUUCCUAAUUAUGAAGACACUCUCAAAAUUACAAAUAUUCAUUAAUCACGCGCAAGUCCGGAACAUGCUAGGUCCUAUACGAGAUGCACAGUAAGUAGAACCACCGCUAUAUUUCAUUCACUUGAGCGGUCAACAUUUACUGAAGCCCUUGAUGUGCCCAACACUGUGCCGGGCACUGGCUUUAUACCACAUUACAGUUAUUAGCCAUUUUAAAAGUGAAGAGAUCAACCUCAGAGAGGUUAUAAAACUUACCCAACUGCCCUCGGCCACACAGUUUGUAAGAGACUUGGGAUUAGAAUAAAGGGAGAGAUCGGAC